AUGCGCGUGCUGGAUAAAGCUCAGCCUGCUGCUCCUACUCAAUCUAGGAGGUCUGCUAGUGGGACUCAGCCCACUAGUUCCUCUGCUCCAUCUUCCUCGAUCGCUCCUCGUGGCCGUUUUGCCUCAUUCUUGGGCAAGGCUCAGACUGCUAUCAUGAAGGCAAUCACUUUCAGCUGUCAGCAGAAUCAUGAUGUUCAGAAGCGCCUUGUCAUCUCCAAGAAUCAGCUCAAGCAGCGCCUCCGUGAUCGUGGGAGUCCCGUGAGCGAUGAUGAUCCUCUUCCCGCGGCUCCGUCCUCGUCCACCUUCGGAUUUCCAUCUCGUGUCGAGUACCCCGAGUUCUUUGAUGAUGAUGAUGACAUCCGCCAGGAGUGA
rnacentral:rRNA from 1 species